GAUGAAGAACGUAGCGAAAUGCGAUAAGUAAUGUGAAUUGCAGAAUUCAGUGAAUCAUCGAAUCUUUGAACGCACAUUGCGCCCGCCAGCAUUCUGGCGGGCAUGCCUGUUCGAGCGUCAUUUCAACCAUCAAGCCCCAGGCUUGUGUUGGAGCCCUGCGGCUGCCGCAGCCUCCCAAAACCAGUGGCGGGCUCGCUAUCACACCGAGUGCAGUAGUUUACUCUUCGCUCAGGGCGUGUGGCGGGUGCUAGCCGUAAAACCCCCAACUUCUCAAGGUUGACCUCGGAUCAGGUAGGAAUACCCGCUGAACUUAAGCAUAUCAAUAAGCGGAGGA
rnacentral:misc_RNA from 1 species